rnacentral:tRNA from 1 species
GGGCGGUUAGCUCAGCUGGUUAGAGCAGUUGAUUUACAUUCAACAGGCCGAGGGUUCGAUCCCUUCACCGCCCA